GACGAACGCUGGCGGCGUGCUUAACACAUGCAAGUCGAACGGAAAGGCCCUGCUUUUGUGGGGUGCUCGAGUGGCGAACGGGUGAGUAACACGUGAGUAACCUGCCCUUGACUUUGGGAUAACUUCAGGAAACUGGGGCUAAUACCGGAUAGGAGCUCCUGCUGCAUGGGGGGGGUUGGAAAGUUUCGGCGGUUGGGGAUGGACUCGCGGCUUAUCAGCUUGUUGGGGGGGUGGUGGCUUACCAAGGGUUUGACGGGUAGCCGGCCUGGGAGGGUGACCGGCCACAUUGGGACUGAGAUACGGCCCAGACUCCUACGGGAGGCAGCAGUGGGGAAUAUUGCACAAUGGGCGGAAGCCUGAUGCAGCAACGCCGCGUGCGGGAUGACGGCCUUCGGGUUGUAAACCGCUUUCGCCUGUGACGAAGCGUGAGUGACGGUAAUGGGUAAAGAAGCACCGGCUAACUACGUG
rnacentral:rRNA from 1 species